GAUGAACGCUGGCGGCGUGCCUAAUACAUGCAAGUCGAGCGAACGGACGAGAAGCUUGCUUCUCUGAUGUUAGCGGCGGACGGGUGAGUAACACGUGGAUAACCUACCUAUAAGACUGGGAUAACUUCGGGAAACCGGAGCUAAUACCGGAUAAUAUUUUGAACCGCAUGGUUCAAAAGUGAAAGACGGUCUUGCUGUCACUUAUAGAUGGAUCCGCGCUGCAUUAGCUAGUUGGUAAGGUAACGGCUUACCAAGGCAACGAUGCAUAGCCGACCUGAGAGGGUGAUCGGCCACACUGGAACUGAGACACGGUCCAGACUCCUACGGGAGGCAGCAGUAGGGAAUCUUCCGCAAUGGGCGAAAGCCUGACGGAGCAACGCCGCGUGAGUGAUGAAGGUCUUCGGAUCGUAAAACUCUGUUAUUAGGGAAGAACAUAUGUGUAAGUAACUGUGCACAUCUUGACCGUACCUAAUCAGAAAGCCACGGCUAACUACGUG
rnacentral:rRNA from 1 species